AAUCUAUAUUCAAUUUCUUUUCACAAAGAAAUAGAAUGUCUUGAGGGCUUUCUUUUAUUCAUUAAUUGAAACCUUCCAAAAUCAUUGUACUAGCGAUCUUGACUUGAUUACUAUUGAACGCAUUAAAUAAUAUCGUUUGAGAAAAUCAGUGUGAGAGCAGCCAAAUUAAAACAUUAAUAGAAAAUCCUUUUUCUUUUAAUACUUUUUUAAU
rnacentral:misc_RNA from 1 species